rfam:Volvox carteri f. nagariensis unplaced genomic scaffold VOLCAscaffold_25, whole genome shotgun sequence.
AUGCAUUCACCGUUUUCGAAAACUCGCAGGCCGACAGCCCCAAGCAGGCCAUCAGCAAUGCGAACAUUGUUCACGACUAAAAUAUCUGCCCUAUCCACUUUCAAUGGGAGGAUUGAGACCUACCAUGGUGGUAGCGCGUGACGGAGGACUAGGGUUCAAUACCGGAGAGGGAGCUAGAGAAAUGGCGAACACAACCAAGGAAGGCCGCA